CUCGGCCAUUCCAGACACCACAUCCCAAGACAUGUACUUUCAAAGGAGAGGUGUUGUUCCAAGCCAGUUUCAAAUAAUUUGUUAUGGCUUCAAUAGGAAACUCAGAUGUCAUUCCAGCCAUUCUCCCAGCUCUCUCCUGCACCAUUACUUUCCUCUCUGCACCAGUGUGCCCCUGAGAGCAGAGGCAUGCUGCUAUUCCUCCCAUCCUAGAAAACCCUCACAUGAUUCCAUUUUCUUCAUGAGCAACAGCCCGAUCUUGUGGUCUUCUUUAGAGUGAAUUCUUUGAAAACUGUCUAUGGCCUGACUCUAGCUCUCUCUCCCCACUUGCUUGAGCUUAGUCUAUUCAGGCUCUGGCCUCCACUCCUCUAUCAAAUUGCUCUAACCUUGAGAAGGACAAUUGUCAAAUGUAAUCAUUAAUUUUCAUUCCUUGUCUUACUUGUUCUGUCAUUAGCUUUAGACUCCUGAACCCUGAAUCAGUCGCUUCAUUUGCCGCUAGGACAGAACAACCUCCCCCCUGCCUCCUGCAGCACCCGACCUCCUCUCAGCCUCCUUUGCCAACCUCUUAAUGACAGGCCCCCUCUUCUCUGUCCACACUCACUCUACCUAAUCCCUGACCAUCUGUUUCCAUGGCUCUAAGUGGCAACUACGUUCUGGUGGAUCCUAA